rnacentral:tRNA from 1 species
GGAGAGAUGUCCGAGUGGUCGAAGGUGCACGAUUGGAAGUCGUGUAUGCCGAAAGGCAUCGGGGGUUCGAAUCCCCCUCUCUCCG